AAGAUGGCGGCCGGGGACCGCGCGCUUCCGGGAGCCGGGCCCGAGCCGCCACGGCGCUGCGUCUACGGGAGGCCGCGGUCUGAGCGUCCGCAGCAGGCCUAGCGUCCCGGGCUCGGUGGAGAUUGGGGCGCGGGUGCUGGGGGCGAGGUCGGCGGGAUGGAAGGAGUCAGUGAGGAGAGAGAGGCUACCGCUGCUGAAUAUGUUGUAUUGCUUCUGAGUCCAAGAAGGUAUCAAUGUGAGAUUUCUAAGGAUAGCUACAGCACUGGACCCAAGGUUUAAGAAUCUGAAGUGCCUUCCAAAAGCUGAGAGGGACGAGGUGUGGAGCAUGCUUUCAAAAGUCUUAAAAGAGCAACACUCCAAUGCGGAAACUACAGAACCCAAACCACCAAAAAAAAAAAAAUCAACCUUCUGCUGGUGGUAUCUGACUCAUAUAAUGAAAAUGAAAAUGCAUCAUUCCGCACUGGUUUGGAUUGUUAUCAAGCAGAACCUGUCAUCAGCAUGGACAAAUGUCCUCUGGAAUGGUGGUUGAAGCAUCAAGGGACAUAUGAAUCUUUAGUGCAUCUGGCUUGUAAAUAUCUUGUGAUGCUGGUUACAAUAGUGCCAUGGAACACCUGUUCUCAGUUUCCGGUGACAUUGUAAACAAGAAGUGGGCAGGAUUAUCUCCUGCAAAUGUAAACAAACUUGUUUGUCUGAGUGAGUGGCUGAACAAGAAGUAGGACUGAGUGGACUUGCAGGCUCUAAAAUUUUACAUGGUUUUAUUUUUGAAUGCAGUUUUUUUUAACAUAAUUCUACAUUUGUAAGUUCAACUUUCAUGAUAAAGAGAUUGCAUUACAGUACUUGUAUUAGGUAAAUUGAAAAAUACUGUUUCUUUUGGGUUUUUUAACAGUGUAAAUACUUGUAAUCAAAAGUAAAUAUAAAGUGAGCACUGUA